rnacentral:rRNA from 1 species
UACGUAGGGGGCAAGCGUUGUCCGGAUUUAUUGGGCGUAAAGCGCGUGUAGGCGGCAUGGCAAGUCGGGUGUGAAAGCCCUCAGCUCAACUGAGGAAGUGCGCCCGAAACUGCUUUGCUUGAGUGCUGGAGAGGGUCGCGGAAUUCCCCAAGUAGAGGUGAAAUUCGUAGAUAUGGGGAGGAACACCGGUGGCGAAGGCGGCGACCUGGACAGUAACUGACGCUGAGACGCGAAAGCGUGGGUAGCAAACAGG